rnacentral:rRNA from 2 species
UUAGGCCGGGAACUCAAAGGAGACUGCCAGUGAUAAACUGGAGGAAGGUGGGGAUGACGUCAAGUCAUCAUGGCCCUUACGACCAGGGCUACACACGUGCUACAAUGGCGCAUACAAAGAGAAGCGACCUCGCGAGAGCAAGCGGACCUCAUAAAGUGCGUCGUAGUCCGGAUUGGAGUCUGCAACUCGACUCCAUGAAGUCGGAAUCGCUAGUAAUCGUGGAUCAGAAUGCCACGGUGAAUACGUUCCCGGGCCUUGUACACACCGCCCGUCACACCAUGGGAGUGGGUUGCAAAAGAAGUAGGUAGCUUAACCUUCGGGAGGGCGCUUACCACUUUGUGAUUCAUGACUGGGGUGAAGUCGUAACAAGGUAACCGUAGGGGAACCUGCGGUUGGAUCACCUCCUUACCUGAAAGAAGC